GUAUUCAGCAAUCAGUUUGUUGUCUUUAGUUGACCCAUGUCAUUGAUUGCGCCCGAAGUUAUAACCUUAACCGUUAGCCUUGCGCAACGCUCUAAUAAACUUCCCCUCUUUAAAUCGGGUAAAUAGAAUAAUCCGUUGUGUCUCUCCUGAAGGCGAAAAUCACGAGGAUUCUUCACGAAUGAUGUAGGAUGGAAAGGGAGGGAUGGCGCCAAGAUUUGGUUAACAGAAUGAAACAGUCAGUGGGGUCAUUGGUUUCCGAAGUUGCCCGAAGAGAUUAGCGGGAAAUUACGUAUUUCCGGUUAAGUCGUACGAGAUUACCUUCCCUAAUCUGAGGAUUCACAACGUAAGUUAUUUCAUCUCAGUUCGCCAAACCUAGUGGAAGCUCGCGUUGUUGUCCGGUUCAAAGUUGUGAAAAAUUAUAAAGAUAGCUUCGAUAGCGUCGGUAGUGCGUGCAAGAAUAGCGUGUGCAAAUACAAUAAGAAGCCAUACGGCACGCUCUAUUAUUUGCACAGCUACGACUGGAGAAGCGGACAAUCAGAACCACACGCGUGCGGCGAACUCUACACCCGGCCUCCGUUACAUCGCCGGAAGCAAGCCGGACCGUCAACUGACCGCUGGACGUAUCCUAGAGCCAUCAACCGUCGGCUCGAAUCUGCGUGGUGAUGUGAUCACCCACACCCAAUCGACCAAAAACGUCAUCGUCAACCGAACAACGAUCGAUCGCAGCAUCCACCAGCAGCAGCAGCAGCCGAACCUAUUGGUGAGUCGUAUCGUUCUUUCUACCUUAUUUGGAAGGGCGGCGUCCAAAGAACCCGCACCGUAAUUAAACAAAGUAUUGGAGAGCAUAUAGAUAAUUCCCGUUUCGAAACGAGUGAUAGGGACGCGUCCAUAAGUUGAGGGUUGUGUGUCGGCCAUCAUGUUUUUGUGACACCAUCUUUGAACGCCACACACAACCCAUACGAUUAGUCACCCGGGUGCGAAGCACAUGGUAUCGAGAGAGAAGGAGUGACGUCAUAUAGUAGUAAAGCACAAAAAUGGUCAAUGAGCACGAGUAGGGAGAGAAAGCACGCACACGAAUAGUAGAUAGGCCUAGAUAGAAA